ACCUACGGGGGGCAGCAGUGGGGGAUAUUGCACAAUGGGGGAAACCCUGAUGCAGCGACGCCGCGUGAGUGAAGAAGUAUUUCGGUACGUAAAGCUCUAUCAGCAGGGAAGAAUAAUGACGGUACCUGACUAAGAAGCCCCGGCUAACUACGUGCCAGCAGCCGCGGUAAUACGGAGGAUGCGAGCGUUAUCCGGAUUUAUUGGGUUUAAAGGGUGCGUAGGCGGAAUGCCAAGUCAGCGGUAAAAUGUCCGGGCUCAACCCGGGCCGGCCGUUGAAACUGGGGAUCUUGAGUGGGCGAGACGUA
rnacentral:rRNA from 1 species